UUCGAUCGUGCCUGAAUGCUAAGAGCAGAGCACAGGCAUAAAACAUACAAGUAAAGGCAGUAACAAGUUGCAGAAGUAGUCGAAUGGUAGGCACCCUCUAAAAAGAGACACAAAGCUUUCAAAUCUAUUUCUAUGACAUGCACAGAGCGUGGAGUUUGUUCAUUUAUCAACUCCAGAAACGAUCAUUAAGACAAAUGGCCUGUCUAUAAAUACUUCCUUUGGCAUACUUUGAGCAUCAGUAAGAGCAAAUCGAACAUACCCUUUGGCUCUUCUUAUGUGUUUGUGUGUGUUUUGGGCCAAUUCUCGGUCACUUUGUUUUGAUUCCGAUUCCGAUUCCGAUUUCGAUUCUGCGGGGCUAUGUUUCUGUUCUGUUCUUGUAGGGUUUAGCUUUUAUUGAUUGUUUUUGUUGUUGCUGCUGCUGCUGCUGCUGCCUGCCUGCCGAUGGCUUAAUAACGUUAUUUUUCUCUGGUCAUUGUACUUUUAAUGGUCAGAAGCGGCACAGGCAGCAGCACAGGCAGCAAACAAAUCAAACACAGACGCCGUUUGCCUCUGGGGCGCUGUGCCUAUUGCCAACAUUCGCAUCGAUCAUGAUCAUCGUGCCCCGAGGUUGUUGCUGCUGCUGCUGCUGCUGAUGAUGAUGAUGAACGUGGUCAUGACAAAGGUUGUCCCUUUUUUAGUUGUUGCUGUUGUCGUGCUGGUUGCGUGGCAGCAACAACUUAUCGACGAAGUUUCCUGGGACUCUGAAUAAGGAUGAUGAUGAUGAUGAUGAUGAUGAGUUGGUGGUGCUGGCGCUGGCGCUGGCGGUGGCUCUUAUAAACUUGAGCUUCUGGGUGGCGACGCAUGACAGCUCGGACACACACAAACUCGACCAUCGAAAGCUCUUUCAUCGCAUGACAAGCGGCCGAAGCGUUUAACACAAAAACAAAAAACAGCCAACAAGUUGAACAAAAUCACGAGAC
rnacentral:lncRNA from 1 species